GCCGCCUCCUCUUCUCAUCUCAUCCCUGGCGCCGUCUCCUCUCAGCCCUAGCGCCGCCCCUGCUCCGGAGCCUUGCAGCCUCAUAUUGGUGAACCUCUCCAACCUCCACUCACGAGAGCUGCUGCCGACACCGGUUGUCUCAUUAGGUACCUGCUGAUCAAGUAUGCAUGGGAUGGGAGUAGCCACUUCAUUAUGAGCAUGCACACUCUUUAGCCAUUCAGUAAACAAAUCCCUAGGCUGAAUAAUUCUUUUGAUGUUAUGAGGAUUGUUGCGUGGUCAUUUGGUUGUCGCCUAGAAUUUAUUUAUUCGGUUGUGAUGGUUGAUGAGCAAGUUUAUUUACUAUCUCUAUAUUCACUUUGCUAUAUUUAUGUCUUGUGUGCCGCUAAUGUUAGAAUUUACGAAGGAGACUUUGCCGAAAUUUACUAGAAUUUUAUGAUUUAGUGCAAUUUAAUGUC